rnacentral:rRNA from 1 species
UACGAAGGGGGCUAGCGUUGUUCGGAAUCACUGGGCGUAAAGCGCACGUAGGCGGGUCGUUAAGUCAGGGGUGAAAUCCCGAGGCUCAACCUCGGAACUGCCUUUGAUACUGGCGACCUUUGAGUCCGGGAGAGGUGAGUGGAACUCCGAGUGUAGAGGUGAAAUUCGUAGAUAUUCGCAAGAACACCAGUGGCGAAGGCGGCUCACUGGCCCGAUACUGACGCUGAGGCACGAAAGCGUGGGGAGCAAACAGG